rnacentral:tRNA from 1 species
GGCUGUAGCUCAGUGGUAGAGCGCUUGCCUCGCAUAUGUGAGGCACUGGAUUCAAUCCUCAGCACCA